CUGGCAUAAGCAGGCUUGUGAACACAAGGAACUCUCUUACCACUGCCACCUUAUCUACUGCCUCUUUGUGAAGACAAUUUCUGAACUGGUGAGAGCAGUGUGAGUGCCCUCAAGUAGCCUGCUGCCUGAGGUCCGCAUGCAACCUGCCUCAGGACCUCACAUGCACCAGAGAUCCGCAGGGCCAGAAUGUCACAUGUCGCAACACAUACAUAGUCCUUCACUGGAAGAACUGAUUGCCCUGAAUGUCAACGGCCUUCCUCUCGAGAAAUAUUGGU
rnacentral:lncRNA from 1 species